UGAUGGGCUCUGGAUGGUUCAGGCGUGUCUGGAGGAGGGGCAGGUGUUGGAGCAGCUGUUCCCGGGCCCUGGGAACCUCUGCCAGGCAGUGUUCAUAAUGGUCCCAGCAGCAUUGGCUUUGAUCUCCAGGUCUUCAUCACUUAGCAACUGGACCAAAACAGGUGGACUUGUGCAGACACCUCACCCCUUCCUCUGAGUGCAUUGUGAAUGAACUCUGCUCCAGUGUUGAAGUUGACGCUCAU